rnacentral:rRNA from 1 species
UGCACUAGUUUAUUUUGUUUAAGCGAUGGAGGGACGCAGGAGGCUAAGGAAAGCGCACGGCUGGAAAAGUGCGUCCAAGCCGCAAGUCUGGUGGCGAGUGAAAUGCUUGCGACCAUAAGGACAAGCGGUGAUGGGGAGCGAAAUUAAAGUAGCGAAGUUCCUGAUGUCACACUGCCAAGAAAAGCUUCUAGUGAGAAAUAAACUACCCGUACCGCAAACCGACACAGGUAGUCGAGGAGAGUAUCCUCAGGUGAGCGAGC